GAUGAACGCUGGCGGCGUGCCUAAUACAUGCAAGUCGAGCGAACUGACGAGAAGCUUGCUUCUCUGAUGUUAGCGGCGGACGGGUGAGUAACACGUGGAUAACCUACCUAUAAGACUGGGAUAACUUCGGGAAACCGGAGCUAAUACCGGAUAAUAUUUUGAACCGCAUGGUUCAAAAGUGAAAGACGGUCUUGCUGUCACUUAUAGAUGGAUCCGCGCUGCAUUAGCUAGUUGGUAAGGUAACGGCUUACCAAGGCAACGAUGCAUAGCCGACCUGAGAGGGUGAUCGGCCACACUGGAACUGAGACACGGACCAGACUCCUACGGGAGGCAGCAGUAGGGAAUCUUCCGCAAUGGGCGAAAGCCUGACGGAGCAACGCCGCGUGAGUGAUGAAGGUCUUCGGAUCGUAAAACUCUGUUAUUAGGGAAGAACAUAUAUGUAAGUAACUGUGCACAUCUUGACGGUGCCUAAUCAGAAAGCCACGGCUAACUACGUG
rnacentral:rRNA from 1 species